rnacentral:lncRNA from 1 species
GUUCUAGCCUUUGGGAAGAGAGUGUAAGAUAAUGGAAAAAUCGUUCUGGUGUGCUCAGUCGUCUUUCUGAAAUUUGUAUCUUUGAAAACACUGUGCUGAGGAGUUUUUCCCCCAGCCCCAUCUCCCAGGUCUGAGUGGCUGUCAACAGUGCUUAAUGAACAGGUGAAGAGGAGACUCAAGUAUCCUUUGAAACCUCAGCACUCCGCUGGGCUAGAACAUAGCACCAACUGCUAUACAAGUUGAUCCAAAUCAUGUCUCAUCAGGAUGCUCACUGAUGGGAGAAAGGAUACAUGGUGCAAACUGAAUUUUAAUUCUUCCUUUUUGACCUGUAUCCAUCCAAAAUGAGCGAAAUUCAGGGGGGAAAAAAAGAAAUAAAAGAAAAUCCUCCCGUGCUCUUUCCUUGGUAUCUGUGGUCCCCUCCCUUUUUCCACCGAGAAGCUCGAACCUACAGAUUGCGCUUCCUUUCCGACGUGUGUGGUUUAAAGAGGGAAGCAGCGGAUGUGCCCUUUGAAGAGGUUGCCAUGGAGAAGACUACAGAAAACUCGUUCGCAGAAACGCUGCUGUGGCUGCAGAGCGGAUGGCGUUUCUCCCCGAGCUCGCAAGUGUAAUGUGAUUAUGCUGGGCUUCCGUACAGACAUUGCCCUUUCACAGUCAUGCCUUGCUGUGCGGAAGAGCUGCAGCUCAGGGGAUACUUCUCAUUAUCAGUGGUUUGGAGAAGAAUGAGGAGGUUGGAGAGCCACCAUCUUGCCCAGGUAACGAGGCAUAAGCAUAAGCCACAGGUUGAAAUGGAAAAGGACACUCAGCUAAGGCACCUGGAGAAUCACGUCUCCCUGAACCCACACAAGAAUCCUGCGAGGUGGGUCGUCAGCAAACCCACUGCACAGCUCAGAAACCACACCAGGAAGAGGUGGUUCAUGGUGCACAAGUUCAAACAACUGUACAGUAAGCGAGGAGAGCCGUGCUCCUCUACACUAUGCAGGAUGGUUCUUAAGCGGCUCUUACUUGGCUGAGGAGGUGGCGGGGUGGGGGAAGCAAUCUUUGUAGGAGUAUGGCUUUUAUUCUAAUACUAACCAUAAGGGGCAGCAGAGGGCAGGCAAGGUCUUCAGUCCUGGCUUCCCCUCUCACCAACUCUGUGAUAAUGGGCAAAUUGCUCAACAUCUCUGAGCCCUAACUCCCUCAUUGCCCCAGACAGAUUACCACAUCUCCUCUACCCACUCUGAGGUCUAUCGUGUGGGUGAGGUGGGAAAAGAGCACUCUAUUAAAUGUUGAGACUUGUCUAUCCUAUUAAUUGUAUUCAACACGACUUGCAGAAGUUCGAGUUAUUGUAGAGCAAUGAUCACCUGAGGGAAUGUUUAGGACUCGAACAUGACAAAGAGGUUUGCCCCUUUCAGAGUGUUGAUUGGCCUUUUUUAUUCUCAUCUAUUCAUUCAAGUUUAAACAACAGGGGACAGAAAUGCUGCACUUAAUCCCUAAAGCCUACUUGGUUCCAGAAAUCAGCUUUUAAUAACAGAAUUUCUGUUUUCGUUUCCUGGAAGCACUUGAUUUGGAAUCAUCUCCCUGAGCCCGAGUAACAUGAGGAAAAUUGGAAUCCUAGUAAGAGACGAGGACCUGGCUGCUGCCGGUGAUUCCCAGGGUGCCCCUUGAAGUGGUAAAGACCCCCUCUCCACAGAGCACAUCCACGCUGUGUCAGGUAGGUGGGGGAGCAGCAAGGAGGAGCUUAGCUGCUGCAAGCCUGGGAGAGAAGCAGGAGUGACAUUUGCGCAUGUGUGUGCACGGAGACUGCUGUGACUGCGAAUGAAGCUCCAGGUUUCAAGUCGCAUCUCAUUCUUGCCGUACAUAAAAUCUACAGGAUGCCAGCUUUUGACGCCUAAUGCCCAACAUCAUUUUACUCGCAUUCCCCUUGUGAGUUGCUUGUCUCCUUAAUGAAAUUGUUGCCUGGGUAAUAAAGUUGUGGUUAAAAUCCUGCCUCCUAGUCAUUAACCCUUGGAAU